rnacentral:rRNA from 1 species
CCUACGGGAGGCAGCAGUGAGGAAUAUUGGUCAAUGGGCGCGAGCCUGAACCAGCCAAGUAGCGUGAAGGAUGACUGCCCUACGGGUUGUAAACUUCUUUUAUAAAGGAAUAAAGUGAGGCACGUGUGCCCUUUUGUAUGUACUUUAUGAAUAAGGAUCGGCUAACUCCGUGCCAGCAGCCUCGGUAAUACGGAGGAUCCGAGCGUUAUCCGGAUUUAUUGGGUUUAAAGGGAGCGUAGGGGGUGUGUUAAGUCGGUUGUGAAAGUUCGCGGCUCAACCGUAAAAUUGCAAUUGAUACUGGCAGCAUUGAGUACAGUUGAGGUAUGCGGAAGUCGUGGUGUAGCGGUGAAAUGCUUAGAUAUCACGAAGAACUCCGAUUGCGAAGGCAGCUUACUAAACUGCCACUGACGUUGAUGCUCGAAAGUGUGGGUAUCGAACAGGAUUAGAUACCCUUGUAGUC